UAAUCUGAUAAAUCUCUUUCUGAUGCAAUUCAUCCCUAAACAUCUCUAACCAUUACUCAACAUCAUAAUAAUCCCCAAUGUUUGGCAUAGUUUUCAGCUUCUAAAGGCAGAAAAUCAACCCCAAAAAGGACCGUGUGGUGUCUCUCCAACACGAAGACAUACUGUGAGCAGUGAAAUCUGUUUCAUGGAGGAGACGGCAGGAGUGAUAUUUCAAUUCCCCUUUACAUGCAUGCCCUAUACAUACAUGCCCUACUUCACAAUUCCACUUUUAGGCUGAUGUCUAUAUAUCUACAAUACCUAUGAGCCAAAAGAUUUAUUAAAGGCAUGCAUCCAUACCUUGGAUAUUCCGAACUCAUUCUGAGAUUAUCAUCAGAUAAUAACAAUCUUGAUAAAGCCCCGUUUGAAACUGCCACUUACCCAGUCGUUUCUGUUUAAUAUUGGGUGGACACCUUAUGGAAUAGACAAUUCCACUUUUAGGCUGAUGUAUAUAUCUCUACAGGUGAUUUAAACUAAUCGUGUACAAAAACACAAUAGUGGACAUUUAGCAUGAGC
rnacentral:lncRNA from 1 species